CCGCACAAGCGGUGGAGUAUGUGGUUUAAUUCGAUGCAACGCGAAGAACCUUACCUGGUCUUGGCAUCCCGGAGACCCUUAGGAAACUAGGGGUGCUUCCAUCUGGAAGAAUCUGGAGACAGGUGCUGCAUGGCUGUCGUCAGCUCGUGUCGUGAGAUGUUGGGUUAAGUCCCGCAACGAGCGCAACCCUUGCCUUUAGUUGCCAGCAGUUCGGCUGGGCACUCUAAAGGGACUGCCGGUGUUAAACCGGAGGAAGGUGGGGAUGACGUCAAGUCCUCAUGGCCUUUAUGACCAGGGCUACACACGUACUACAAUGGCCGAUACAAAAGGCAGCGACACUGCGAGGUGAAGCCAAUCCCGUAAAAUCGGUCUCAGUCCGGAUUGGAGUCUGCAACUCGACUCCAUGAAGUUGGAAUCGCUAGUAAUCGUGAAUCAGAAUGUCACGGUGAAUACGUUCCCGGGCCUU
rnacentral:rRNA from 1 species